CCAACCUUUCAUCAACCAUAGUCGUUACCCAGAAUAACAAAAACACCUCCACCCACUCAACCCUUAACCAAGAAAAAGUUUUUGUUCCAUUAACUCUGCCUUGUCGUUCAUUCAUCGCCGAGAAUCGUUAGGAUUACGAUUACCGCUGCAACAUUCAUUACUUGGGUUCGUCCUCUCCUUCGAUCUAGAAUCUCCCCGACUGAUUCAACCUUCUACUUUUUCUACUGUGAGUGAGUUCUGUUUUCUCCUUUGACUGAUUCGUACUAACCCUUCCUUCAAUAAGGAGAAGCUUAAGGAAUUCGUCGAUUGAGGAAAAAUAAAGUGAAACAGCUUCACCACCGUGGAGAAGCUUCAUCUCUUCUCCACCGUAUUACUGAUUCACUACCAUGAAACAGCUUCACCCAAUCCGCUUCCCUACCGUGAAACCCUCCGUGUUAUCCAUCUCCACCACCGUCUUAUCCUUCUCCACUGUGAAACCCUUCGAUUAUGCGAUUCACCAUCGAGCUCCACUCUGAGAUUCACCAUCGAUUUUGAGAUUCACCACAGCUUCUCAGCCAAACCCAGCCGAGAUUCACUUCACCACAACCGUCACACCAAUUAUCUUCUCAGAUUAUCCACCAUCGAGCAAAGGUAAAUUCAAUUUUGCAGUAAAAUUCCCUUUCAAUUUUUGGGGUUGUGGCUUUCGGCAUUGUGUUUUGGUUUUAACCUUGGGUGUUGUUUUUGUUUGUUAGCGCUGUUUUUGUGCGGAUUUGGGUUUCAGUUUGGUAUUAAGGCUGUUUUCAACAUAGGGGUCUGUUUUGGUUAUGUAUGCUGAUGAGUAGUAUUUACCAUGUAUUUUUUUAUUUUAUCCAAAAUAUAUCUUGGGAUAAUUUGCUAGAAUGUAACUUCUAAAAGAAAUAGUUGCAUUUAUAGAUCCUGUGAAAGGACCCAUCCUAUUUUAAGGCUUUCUUUUGUGUCAGGAUUUAUAAUACUGAGAAUUUCUUGUUUGCUCUACACCUCGGAUCAGACCCUAAAUGAAAAGGUGGGCUCUUAGAGACAGUUAGCACAUCGGUUGUAUAGGACCAUGGUGUGGAGGGUUUAUGUUAAGAGAAAUAGUGUAAGUAGGAAAUGAAUUGUGCAAGGGGAUUUCUGUUAUGGUUGAGUGGAGAGAGAAAGGUAUCGAGAGGGAUCAUGCAGUUUGUUAGGGGCAGAGAACAUUAGUUCCUUGAAGCAGCUUAGCUCUAUGGACAAUAAGAUCUAAUGCUAUUGUAUUUUCCUUUUAUUUAUGGAAAUAAAACUCUCUACUUUCCUUUAUUGGUUUAUUUUAUUCUAUUUGAUGUUUAUGUAAUAUGGGUUUGCAUUAACCUCCAUCAUAUAUUUAAUCUGAACUUCACGUGGACAUUAGUUUAGCUGAUUUUGUAUGAGCAGGAUUUGCCGUGGUCAUCAAGUUUAUACACAAGUUUGUGCUUCCUGCCAUUCCAUGUGCAAAUAAUAGCCUUUUGAUAGCAUAGGUGAUGUUAGUUCAAUAUAUUUUUUUCUACGUAAUUUGAUUUUAGCAAUUACUUUUCAAUAUAAUACUUUUUAUGUGGAUGGCUUGGUGAAACAGUAUUCCAG
rnacentral:lncRNA from 1 species